rnacentral:rRNA from 1 species
GAUGAACGCUGGCGGCGUGCCUAAUACAUGCAAGUCGAGCGAACAGACGAGGAGCUUGCUCCUCUGACGUUAGCGGCGGACGGGUGAGUAACACGUGGAUAACCUACCUAUAAGACUGGGAUAACUUCGGGAAACCGGAGCUAAUACCGGAUAAUAUAUUGAACCGCAUGGUUCAAUAGUGAAAGACGGUUUUGCUGUCACUUAUAGAUGGAUCCGCGCCGCAUUAGCUAGUUGGUAAGGUAACGGCUUACCAAGGCGACGAUGCGUAGCCGACCUGAGAGGGUGAUCGGCCACACUGGAACUGAGACCCGGUCCAGACUCCUACGGGAGGCAGCAGUAGGGAAUCUUCCGCAAUGGGCGAAAGCUUGACGGAGCAACGCCGCGUGAGUGAUGAAGGUCUUCGGAUCGUAAAACUCUGUUAUUAGGGAAGAACAAAUGUGUAAGUAACUAUGCACGUCUUGACGGUACCUAAUCAGAAAGCCACGGCUAACUACGUG